UCCUGGUGGCUCAGAUGGUAAAGCAUCUGCCUACAACACAGAAGACCCAGGUUCAAUCCCUGCAUUAGGAA
rfam:Ovis aries breed Texel chromosome 5, whole genome shotgun sequence.